rnacentral:rRNA from 1 species
AUUGAACGCUGGCGGCAGGCCUAACACAUGCAAGUCGAGCGGAUGAAGGGUGCUUGCACCCCGAUUCAGCGGCGGACGGGUGAGUAAUGCCUAGGAAUCUGCCCGAUAGUGGGGGACAACGUUUCGAAAGGAACGCUAAUACCGCAUACGUCCUACGGGAGAAAGUGGGGGCUCUUCGGACCUCACGCUAACAGAUGAGCCUAGGUCGGAUUAGCUAGUAGGUGAGGUAAUGGCUCACCUAGGCUACGAUCCGUAACUGGUCUGAGAGGAUGAUCAGUGGCACUGGAACUGAGACACGGUCCAGACUCCUACGGGAGGCAGCAGUUGGGAAUAUUGGACAAUGGGCGAAAGCCUGAUCCAGCCAUGCCGCGUGUGUGAAGAAGGUCUUCGGAUUGUAAAGCACUUUAAGUCGGGAGGAAGGGUUGCAGGUUAAUACCUUGCAGCCUUGACGUUACCGACAGAAUAAGCACCGGCUAACUUCGUGCCAGCCGCCGCCGUAA